AAUGAUAAAAAAAUUAAUCAUAUUAUUAUAAAAUAAAUAAGCACAUAUUUUAAAAAUUUUUAAAAUAAAAUAAGUUUUAAGUACAUUUUAUAAAUGAUUUAUUUUUUUAAUUAUGGAAGAUGUGAAUAUCUUUUUUUUAGUUAGAAAAUUGUUUUAUAUAACUUAUAGGUGAACACGUUUUUCAUGUUUUUCUUUGUUUUCCAUAGAAAAUGAAAAAUGAAAUUUUUUUAGAAAAUGGAAAACAGAAAACAGUUUUCCACAAGUAAACAGGCCCCAACAGUUUCUUUCUCCAUUUGUACAUAUGUUCUCUCCUUUGUAGGUUUACAAACUUCAAAAGCUUGUACACUUAAAAAAAGGAAGAUUCCAUAUGGGGCAGGCUCCAUUUUGUAUAUGAUAAUAACCAACUAUGCACCAUGAUGAAUGCCUUUAGCUCUACAACUAAGAAGAUGUGAACGCAACUACAAGCGAUUUCAAUAUCAUAAUAACUGCCUUGGUUACAAGGGAAAAGAGUUCCACCUGUUUGAUGGGUUUUGAUGACAGAAAAAAAGCUAGAGUGACAAUUUUCAGAAGAACAGGAUGUGCUUAAUUUUCAGAACGAAAAAUUGCAAAAAACAAUGAAAUACAGCUUUAUGAAUUGUUGAAAAUGCUAACUUGUUAAGAAGUGAAAAAUAGUAGCAACAAAAAGUAAUUGAAAAGCAACCUGCCAGCAUCCAAGAAGCACA
rnacentral:misc_RNA from 1 species